GAGCAGUGAAUUCACUCAGGAUCCAUGGAAGGUUUGAGCAAAUGCUUAUUUCGCAAAGUGGUAGGCACAGAGCUAAGCAAGGCAAACCAUCUAAAAGGAGAGUGGAGGGAGCUUCCCUAAGGCAGGACUGACAAGUAUCCUGGAGAAACAUGAUCUUACACAGAGCACAUGGUGGCUGCCAGAGGACAAGCAGUGUCAGGAAGACAGUCACAGGGAAGAUAACAGGAAAUGAGUAAGAACCCGUGAAAGCCCUUUGACCUGAGGAGUCCCAUGAGGCUGAGAUUACCUGCUGGGAUGCUAAAGUUUAAAAAGGGUUGCUUAUGUGACUGUGACUGUAGAGUUAGCCACUGGACCUGGCUGGCUUCCCUAGUAGGUACAUAUCUGAAGAUAAUGAUAUCCAGUCUUCCAGAGGCUACCAAUAACUAAUAGUUCCCCAGGGUGCUUAGGUCCCGUGAGUGCUGACAAGGGGUGUGAUUUUGCCAGCUGAAGGCAGUUUACAUUCGGAGUUCCGCGGACUCUUCAGAGGCUGUAAAAAUGCCGGAGUCACGAAAGCCUGCAAAGAGCUGUUGCUCUCCUUGCUGCUGCUGCUGCUACUGCCGUCCCUGCCCGUGCUGCAGCUGCUACUCCUGCUGCUGCUGCUGCUGCUUGUUGCUGAUUGUUGCGGUUGCUGGUUGCUGUUUACUGUUUGCUGCCGGCUGGAUUGCUGGAUUGCUGAUUGCCAGUCGGCGAAAUCCUGGCGAUGAAGAUCCAACUUGCCCCAAGAAAGAAGACGACCCUAAGAAGUAGUCUAAUGAUUUCAAUACCCGCUUUCCCCCUCUGACCUUUCUCUCUUACCUUAUGCUGGGGGAUUGGAAGGGUGGCAGAAAAAAGAACCCAAUAAAGUAGCCAAAAGU
ensembl:processed_transcript